GUACGGGUGAGUAAUACACAGGAAUCUGCCUUUUAGUUCAGGAUAAAAUUCUGAAUAACAAAAGAAAACUUUUCGCUAAAAGAUGAGCCUGUGUAGGAUUAGGUAGUUGGUAUUUGGGUAAAGGCCUACCAAGCCUAUGAUCCUUAGCUGUUCUGAGAGGUUGUACAGCCACACUGGGACUGAGACAAGGGCCAGGCUUCAUUUGGAGCCAGCAGUGAGGAAUUUUGGACAAUGAGCGAAAGCUUGAUCCAGCAAUACUACAUGAGUGAUGAAGGCUUUCAAGUUGUAAAACUCUUUGGUUGAGGAGGAUAAUGACAGUACUCAACAAAAUAGCCCCGGCUAACUUCGUGCCAGCAGCCGCGGUAAUACGAAGGGGGCGAGCGUUAUCCGGAAUGACUGGGCGUAAAGGGUCCGUAGGCAGCAUUUUUUGUUAGAGGUUAAAUAAAAAAGCUUAACUUUUUUCCGCUUCUAAAACGUAAAUGCUUUGAGUUUGAUAGGAGAUAGCAGAAUUUCACAUGGAGGGGUGAUAUCCGUAGAUAUGUGAAGGAAUACCAGAGGCGAAGGCGGCUAUCUAGAUCAAUACUGACGUCGAGGGACGAAAGCAUGGGGAGCAAACAGGAUUAGAUACCCUGGUAGUCCAUGCCCUAAAAGAUGAGUGCUCGUGCUUAGAUAUUUUUAGGCACUUAGUUAACACGUUAAGCACUCCGCCUGGGGAGUACGACCGCAAGGUUGGAACUCAAAGGAAUUGACGGGGGCCUAUACAAGUGGUGGAGCAUGUGGUUUAAUGCGACAAUACGCGCGAAACCUUACCAGUUCUUGACAUAAAAAAGAAAAAGUUUGAAAGGACAAUUUUGAAGAUUUUUACAGGUGCUGC
rnacentral:rRNA from 1 species